rnacentral:rRNA from 1 species
UCAACCGCAAAACAAGCAGAGGGGGCUUAGUGGUGGGGUGACUGCGUACCUUUUGUAUAAUGGGUCAGCGACUUAUAUUCUGUAGCAAGGUUAACCGUAUAGGGGAGCCGGAGGGAAACCGAGUCUUAAUUGGGCGUUAAGUUGCAGGGUAUAGACCCGAAACCCGGUGAUCUAGCCAUGGGCAGGUUGAAGGUUGGGUAACACUAACUGGAGGACCGAACCGACUAAUGUUGAAAAAUUAGCGGAUGACCUGUGGCUGGGGGUGAAAGGCCAAUCAAACCGGGAGAUAGCUGGUUCUCCCCGAAAGCUAUUUAGGUAGCGCCUCGUGAAUUCAUCUCCGGGGGUAGAGCACUGUUUCGGCUAGGGGGCCAUCCCGGCUUACCAACCCGAUGCAAACUGCGAAUACCGGAGAAUGUUAUCACGGGAGACACACGGCGGGUGCUAACGUCCGUCGUGAAGAGGGAAACAACCCAGACCGCCAGCUAAGGUCCCAAAGUCAUGGUUAAGUGGGAAACGAUGUGGGAAGGCCCAGACAGCCAGGAUGUUGGCUUAGAAGCAGCCAUCAUUUAAAGAAAGCGUAAUAGCUCACUGGUCGAGUCGGCCUGCGCGGAAGAUGUAACGGGGCUAAACCAUGCACCGAAGCUGCGGCAGCGAACGUAUCACUUAAAGCGAUUCAGCGGGUUACGAUUGACGGAGCGAAGCGACGUCAAAGCGUAUACAAAGUCGAGUCGGUUUAAGGAUACGUUCGUUGGGUAGGGGAGCGUUCUGUAAGCCUGCGAAGGUGGCCUGUGAGGGUUGCUGGAGGUAUCAGAAGUGCGAAUGCUGACAUAAGUAACGAUAAAGCGGGUGAAAAGCCCGCUCGCCGGAAGACCAAGGGUUCCUGUCCAACGUUAAUCGGGGCAGGGUGAGUCGACCCCUAAGGCGAGGCCGAAAGGCGUAGUCGAUGGGAAACGGGUUAAUAUUCCCGUACUUGGUGUUACUGCGAAGGGGGGACGGAGAAGGCUAUGUUGGCCGGGCGACGGUUGUCCCGGUUUAAGCGUGUAGGCUGGUUUUCCAGGCAAAUCCGGAAAAUCAAGGCUGAGGCGUGACGACGAGGCACUACGGUGCUGAAGCAACAAAUGCCCUGCUUCCAGGAAAAGCCUCUAAGCAUCAGGUAACACGAAAUCGUACCCCAAACCGACACAGGUGGUCAGGUAGAGAAUACCAAGGCGCUUGAGAGAACUCGGGUGAAGGAACUAGGCAAAAUGGUGCCGUAACUUCGGGAGAAGGCACGCUGACACGUAGGUGAAGUGAUUUACUCAUGGAGCUGAAGUCAGUCGAAGAUACCAGCUGGCUGCAACUGUUUAUUAAAAACACAGCACUGUGCAAACACGAAAGUGGACGUAUACGGUGUGACGCCUGCCCGGUGCCGGAAGGUUAAUUGAUGGGGUCAGCGCAAGCGAAGCUCCUGAUCGAAGCCCCGGUAAACGGCGGCCGUAACUAUAACGGUCCUAAGGUAGCGAAAUUCCUUGUCGGGUAAGUUCCGACCUGCACGAAUGGCGUAAUGAUGGCCAGGCUGUCUCCACCCGAGACUCAGUGAAAUUGAACUCGCUGUGAAGAUGCAGUGUACCCGCGGCAAGACGGAAAGACCCCGUGAACCUUUACUAUAGCUUGACACUGAACAUUGAGCCUUGAUGUGUAG